CAAUCAAGAAAUUAAAUUUUCGCCAAUUCACAAGGAUGGAGGAAGAGUUUGAGAGUGAAGUGAAGUUGAUAAGUAAUGCUCAUCAUCUAAAUCUUGUUCGACUUCUAUGAUGUUGCAGUGAAGGACAAAACAGAAUUCUUGUUUAUGAAUACAUGAAAAAUAAUAGUCUUGACAGGUACCUGUUUGGUAAAGAGAAGGGUUCUCUCAACUGGAAGCAAAGGUGUAACAUAAUUUUAGGAACAGCAAAAGGACUUUUGCCUGAGGACAAAUCUCAUCUUAGCACAAAAUUUGCA